UUUCUUCAUUUAUAAAAUGGGGAUAAUAAUAGUAUCUAUGUCAUAAAGCAGCAAGAAUUAAAUGAGUUAAUAUAUGUAAACGUGCUUAGAAUGGGAUCUGACACACAACUACUUACAAAUCUUAGAUAUUACUAUUAUCAUCACCAUUCAUAUUCUGUAGGUAGCAUAAGGCUGAGGAAUCACCCCAACUUGGGGGUGAGCAUCACUGAAGAUCCUAAGUCUCAUGUAACCUGAGCCAACAAAGAGUUAUGUGCAGGUAAGGAUACUCUCAAGUGAUCUAGUGGGGGUGGCUCCCUUUGCUUCAUGUGGAUUGGUGAGUAAGGAAAGCCUAUGAUGAUGAUGACCAUGAUGAUGAUGAUGAUGAUGAUGAUGAUUGAAGCAUGAUGCUGAGAGGAAGGGUUCACCCUAACCCGAUGACUGCAGGAGAGAAAGAGCCAACAAAGGAAUGAGGAAGCUCUUCCUGCACCCUAGUGAACAGGCUGACUUUCUAAUUAUCUGUGGACUGUGAAUCUCUGCCUUUGUAGAUCUGGAGUCAAAGCUGCCACCUAAACAACCAGAAGGAAAGGCACCAUCUUACACAAAAAGCAAACCUCAGGCCAGGCGCGGUGGCUCAUGCCUGUAAUCCCAGCACUUUGGAAGGCCGAGUUUUCAGAGGCACAGACAGCAGAGGAGCUACAUUUGCAGAGAAGAUGAUGAAGGAAGACAGCAGCUCACUGGAGAGUGAUUCCUGUGAGGGCAAGUUUUCAGGGACCGAGCACAGCAGGGACAAGGAAGCUGCCAGAAGCCACUCCCACUGCAAACAGUUCCAAAAAUAAGGGAAACUCAGCAAGGGAAAGAGGGUGGAGGGAAUGGCAAAGAGGUGGGCACCGAGGGCAGCUCCCAAAAAGGACAUUAGGGCAGGGAUUAGUUGCAAGAGGAGGAGAUGGAAGAGAUGAAAGUGGAAAGAGCUGACUCUAGAUUGGGGCAAGAUCAAGGGGACAUCAAGGGUCCUACCCAGCAGCAACACUAAGUCUCUGAAAUUAGAAUUGCAGGAUCAUCCAGGGAGCAGAAUCCUUCUACCUUUAGCUGCCUGAAACUUCACCAAGAUGUACAUAUUUGGACUUCAGGAACAUAAUUACAACUAUAUCCCCUGCUUGGAUUGCCAGACCUCUCCCACGUAUAGAUGGGACUAUUAUCCCAGCUCUGCCACCCCUACGCAGUUGAAAAAAAUACCAAAACAGAUAUCAGCGAUAUGGAUGUGAUAUUGUGAUAUAAUAAGAAAUAUAUAUUUGGUUUUCCUCCUUCAGUUUUGGCACAGUGGGUUCCAGCACACAGCUCCUAAAACCCUUAGAAUUUCCUAAGUGAGCCAGGUGCAGUGGUACAUGCCUGUAGUCCCAGUUUCUCAGGAGGCUGAGGUGGGAGGAUUGCACCUGUGAAUAGCCACUGUACUGAAGACUGGGUAACAUAGUGAGACCUUAUCUCUAGAAACAAAUUUUUUAGUUAAAAAAAAUUAAAGAAUAUCCUGAGUGUUAGGAGGGGAGCAUCUUUAUUAUUUGUAAUAAGCCCCUUUCUUCUUCUUCUUUUUUUU
rnacentral:lncRNA from 1 species